UCCUAGUUCGUAUAGUGGCUAAUAUAUCCGCCUCUCACUUUCGUGGUAGACGAACUACGAGAUUUCGCGGGCGACCGGGGUUCGAUUCCCCGACUGGGAA